rnacentral:rRNA from 1 species
AACACGGAAGUUAAGCCUGUCAGCGCCGAUGGUACUUGGAGAGAGAUCUCCUGGGAGAGUAGGACGUCGCCCGAU